GGAAACAUCAAAUCCUCCCUACAAGCAUUGACGCUAGUUACCAUACUAAGAGCCAUGAAGAUAUUUUGCCUUCUCUGUGCCAGUCUCUUCUUGGCCUUCCUGCCCAGUUCAGGCAAAGGGGAUUUUGUCACUCUGGGUUGCGUAUUCCGAGGAGGGACCUGUGAAAAUGAUGCUUGCAAGGCUAAUGAAGUGCAGAUUGGGACCUGUUCCAAAACCCAAAAACUGUGCUGUAAGAAACCAAAAUAAAGAGCUGUGUUGGACUGCAGGGAAAAUGCAGCUGAAAAAGUAAAAAUCAGGAACUGAACGUAUG